AGUGAACGCUGGCGGUAGGCCUAACACAUGCAAGUCGAACAGCAGCACAGGAGAGCUUGCUCUCUGGGUGGCGAGUGGCGGACGGGUGAGGAAUGCAUCGGAAUCUACUCUGUCGUGGGGGAUAACGUAGGGAAACUUACGCUAAUACCGCAUACGACCUACGGGUGAAAGCAGGGGACCUUCGGGCCUUGCGCGAUUGAAUGAGCCGAUGUCGGAUUAGCUAGUUGGCGGGGUAAAGGCCCACCAAGGCGACGAUCCGUAGCUGGUCUGAGAGGAUGAUCAGCCACACUGGAACUGAGACACGGUCCAGACUCCUACGGGAGGCAGCGGUGGGGAAUAUUGGACAAUGGGCGCAAGCCUGAUCCAGCCAUACCGCGUGGGUGAAGAAGGCCUUCGGGUUGUAAAGCCCUUUUGUUGGGAAAGAAAUCCAGCUGGCUAAUACCCGGUUGGGAUGACGGUACCCAAAGAAUAAGCACCGGCUAACUUCGUGCCAGCAGCCGCAGUAA
rnacentral:rRNA from 1 species